rnacentral:rRNA from 1 species
ACGAACGCUGGCGGCACGCUUAACACAUGCAAGUCGAACGAGAGAAGAGAAGCUUGCUUUUCUGAUCUAGUGGCGGACGGGUGAGUAACACGUGAGCAAUCUGCCUUUCAGAGGGGGAUACCGAUUGGAAACGAUCGUUAAUACCGCAUAAUAUAAUUGAACCGCAUGAUUUGAUUAUCAAAGAUUUAUCGCUGAAAGAUGAGCUCGCGUCUGAUUAGCUAGUUGGUAAGGUAACGGCUUACCAAGGCGACGAUCAGUAGCCGGACUGAGAGGUUGAUCGGCCACAUUGGGACUGAGACACGGCCCAGACUCCUACGGGAGGCAGCAGUGGGGAAUAUUGCACAAUGGAGGAAACUCUGAUGCAGCGAUGCCGCGUGAGGGAAGAAGGUUUUAGGAUUGUAAACCUCUGUCUUCAGGGACGAAAAAAGACGGUACCUGAGGAGGAAGCUCCGGCUAACUACGUGCCAGCAGCCGCGGUAAUACGUAGGGAGCGAGCGUUGUCCGGAAUUACUGGGUGUAAAGGGAGCGUAGGCGGGAUCGCAAGUCAGAUGUGAAAACUAUGGGCUUAACCCAUAAACUGCAUUUGAAACUGUGGUUCUUGAGUGAAGUAGAGGUAAGCGGAAUUCCUAGUGUAGCGGUGAAAUGCGUAGAUAUUAGGAGGAACAUCAGUGGCGAAGGCGGCUUACUGGGCUUUAACUGACGCUGAGGCUCGAAAGCGUGGGGAGCAAACAGGAUUAGAUACCCUGGUAGUCCACGCCGUAAACGAUGAUUACUAGGUGUGGGGGGACUGACCCCUUCCGUGCCGCAGCAAACGCAAUAAGUAAUCCACCUGGGGAGUACGACCGCAAGGUUGAAACUCAAAGGAAUUGACGGGGGCCCGCACAAGCAGUGGAGUAUGUGGAUUAAUUCGAAGCAACGCGAAGAACCUUACCAGGUCUUGACAUCGUAUGCAUAGCUCAGAGAUGAGUGAAAUCUCUUCGGAGACAUAUAGACAGGUGGUGCAUGGUUGUCGUCAGCUCGUGUCGUGAGAUGUUGGGUUAAGUCCCGCAACGUGCGCAACCCUUACUGUUAGUUGCUACGCAAGAGCACUCUAGCAGGACUGCCGUUGACAAAACGGAGGAAGGUGGGGAUGACGUCAAAUCAUCAUGCCCCUUAUGACCUGGGCCUCACACGUACUACAAUGGCUGUUAACAGAGGGAUGCAAAGCCGCGAGGUGGAGCGAACCCCUAAAAGCAGUCUUAGUUCGGAUUGUAGGCUGCAACCCGCCUACAUGAAGUCGGAAUUGCUAGUAAUCGCAGAUCAGCAUGCUGCGGUGAAUACGUUCCCGGGCCUUGUACACACCGCCCGUCACGCCAUGGGAGUCGGUAACACCCGAAGCCUGUAGUCUAACCGCAAGGAGGACGCAGUCGAAGGUGGGAUUGAUGACUGGGGUG